rnacentral:rRNA from 1 species
UACAGAGGGGGCAAGCGUUGUUCGGAAUUACUGGGCGUAAAGGGCGCGUAGGCGGCCUUCUAAGUCGAACGUGAAAUCCCCGGGCUCAACCCGGGAACUGCGUCCGAUACUGGAAGGCUUGAAUCCGGGAGAGGGAUGCGGAAUUCCAGGUGUAGCGGUGAAAUGCGUAGAUAUCUGAAGGAACACCGGUGGCGAAGGCGGCAUCCUGGACCGGCAUUGACGCUGAGGCGCGAAAGCCAGGGGAGCAAACGGG